rnacentral:lncRNA from 1 species
CGGCCUUUAGGGAGUCUACUAUAUCUCCUCAUUCACCUUCCGCUACAGAAGUCUUACCCAUUCCAACCGUUGGAGAGUCUAGUGAGGCUCCUCCUAGACUCCCUCCAACAGACACUCCACUCUUGACAUAUCAUCGUCGUCCUCGCCCAGCAUCCGGCCCGGUUGAUUCACGUCCUGCACCUGACCCCGCUCCUACUGCGGACUUGUCUCUUCCGAUUGCACUUCGGAAAGGUCGGAACACCCUUAAUCCUAAUCCCCAUUAUAUUGGUUUAAGUUAUCAUCGUUUGUCAUCACAAUGCUUUUCUAUCUUCU